CAGGCGGCUAGCGGGGAGAGAGGGGAAAGUCUGGGGCCCACUGUCCCAAGGCAGGGAGCUGACUCUAGGCAUAAGGAGGAAAAGCCCCAGAUGGAAGGGGUGGAAGGGGGCUAUGCUGCACAGAGGACCGAGGGUGGUCGCUCACCCAGGCAGGUAGCUCUCGAUGACUCAUAUAGAGAGUUUUCGCAGUGAGCUGCUCCUCGUCGUCCAGUAGCUGCCUCGCUGCUCGAAGGCUCCGUUCUUUCUCGUCGCGGACCCGGCGCCAGCCCAGGUAGAGGGCGAGGCCGAAGAGCACGAAACCCACGCUGAGUCCCACUGCCCCGGCCAAAUACACAGGGUAUUUUUUUCUUCUAAAACCAGUGCUGGAACCUGUGCUGUGCAGAAGAGAGGACAAGACGAGGGAUGUUCCCAAAUUCCCAUAAGAGGACACAGCCCCUCAGUCAGUCCUUCCUCUCUGCUGGCUUCAGUCUGCACUCCUCUGCAAGCCCCCACUGUGAGGCUUGAAGAUGGACAAGAGGACCCUCAUAAAAGGGAGGUGACGGAACUUGCACUUGGCUCCUCUCUGACAGUCACCCUUGAGAAAGUCACGGCAGAUAGGGACCUCCUCCUUGCCAUUUGGUAGGUCAGCCGGUGAAAGGCCAAGGCCAGCUGCUACUUUCUGCCUCAGCCGUGGGGGAAGCUCUCCUGUCUUCUUAUAGCCAUCCUCAUCCUCCUUGGAGCCAUGGAUGAAACGGCAAUUUGGGCGGCUACACUCCUUGUUCUGGAAGUCAUGGCAGAAGAUGAACUCGUUUUUGCUCACCCCCAAGUUGGACACCUCGCUCAUGUCUGGGUGGCGAUAUCGGCAACGCUUGCCUCGCUUGCACACAUUCCUCAAGAAGUCUC
ensembl:lncRNA novel transcript, antisense to ZC3H10 and ESYT1